rnacentral:rRNA from 1 species
CUCGACAACAGAUAUCUCAGCUCUCGCAUCGAUGAAGAACGUACUGAAAUGCAAUACUUGGUGUGAAUUGCAGAAUCCCGUGAACCAUCAAGUUUUUGAAUGCAUGUUGCGCCUGAAGCCUUCUGGCCGAGGGCACGUCUUCUUGGGCGUACG